CCCGGUGGUUAUAGAGAGGGGGAAACACCUGUUCCCAUUCCGAACACAGAAGUUAAGCCCCUCAUCGCUGAUGAUACUGCAC
rnacentral:rRNA from 1 species